GAAGGCCAUGAAGCCCAGCACAGAGAAGAUAGCAAAACCUGCUACGAAGCUGGUGCCGCUGUUCAGACAACAUAGCAUGAGGCAGUCCCUGAGGAGCAAGACAGACAGGAAGUGGAGAGGAAAUUACACUUACAGGAAGCCAGGCAACAGCAUUGAUGGAGGAUGAGAAGCGAGCCUCAGAGCCUCAGAACUACACGGCGCUGCCAAAUCUUUGCCACCGAGUUCACCCCCGCAGCUCCUGACCAGCCAUUGAUCAAGGUGACAUGUUCUUGGUGGCCGGCCACAGGCUAGGUCCAACACAGCCCCCCCGGUCAUCCGAGAGGGCAAGAUGUGAACGCUAAUUACCUGUGUUCCAGUAGUGCCCACAGCUAGCCCACGGCAGCUCGGUGGUGAAGCAGUUGAAGAGGUAGAAUAUGGCCCAGGCAAGGAUCACUACAUAGUACACGUUUAGAUGAGCUUCAAUCACCUGCGUUGCAUAGCCAAUACCUGAAAACGCAAAGAGAGACAGCGGGCAGACUUUCCUCCAGCAGGUGAUGCCUCCCUCACUGGUGAACUGACCCAGGGCAGUCUCCAGGAAAAACACGGGGAUACCACAGCACACGAAGAAGAUGACAUAUGGAACGAAGAACGCACCUUUAUGCACACA